GAUUUUUACAAAAAAAACGUUAUAUAAUAUCGCUGUCAAGUAAUUGACUGCAACACCAGAGGCUGUAUGAAAUAGGCGCAUUGGACCCGAGGGCAGUGCUCGGCACCUCCACCAAUUUUUAUGGGGGUGAAACAGGUUCGACAGUGUUCAGUAAAGAUAUAUGCUGUGUUCGGCAAGAUACCACCGUUAUCGGUUCAAAAUAAAUGAAUGCAAAUGAUAAUUUUGCACCAGUUGCAGUAGCUGCAUAAUUUAGGCAAAUGCAACAAAAUUCAAUUCUUUGAGCAUUGGUUUGCCCAAAGUGGGGAAGGAGCCGCCCAGCAACAGAACGGCU
rnacentral:tmRNA from 1 species